rnacentral:rRNA from 1 species
UACGGGGGGGGCAAGCGUUGUUCGGAAUUACUGGGCGUAAAGGGCUCGUAGGCGGCCAACUAAGUCGGACGUGAAAUCCCUCGGCUCAACCGGGGAACUGCGUCCGAUACUGGAUGGCUUGAGUUCGGGAGAGGGAUGCGGAAUUCCAGGUGUAGCGGUGAAAUGCGCAGAUAUCAGGAGGAACACCGAUGGCGAAGGCAGGUCUCUGGGCCGAUACUGACGCUGAGGAGCGAAAGCGUGGGGAGCGAACAGG